UACGUAGGGUGCAAGCGUUGUCCGGAAUUAUUGGGCGUAAAGAGCUCGUAGGCGGUCUGUCGCGUCGGCUGUGAAAACUCGGGGCUCAACUCCGAGCUUGCAGUCGAUACGGGCAGGCUAGAGUUCGGCAGGGGAGACUGGAAUUCCUGGUGUAGCGGUGAAAUGCGCAGAUAUCAGGAGGAACACCGGUGGCGAAGGCGGGUCUCUGGGCCGUAACUGACGCUGAGGAGCGAAAGCGUGGGGAGCGAACAGG
rnacentral:rRNA from 1 species